GAGCUGGCUUAUUCAAUGAAUAAAGGGGGAAAAUAUCGUAAAAGAAACAAAGAAAAGUUGCUGGAAUCCUCAGAGACUAUACGUCGAACGGCCGCGCCAAGCGGCUAAAGAUAUAGUCCGAACUGCAUGGUGACAUGCAG
rnacentral:ncRNA from 1 species